UCCAGACUCCUACGGGAGGCAGCAGUGGGGGAUAUUGCACAAUGGGGGAAACCCUGAUGCAGCGACGCCGCGUGUGGGAAGACGGUCCUCUGGAUUGUAAACCACUGCCCCCAGGGACGAAGAUGACGGUACCUGAGUAAGAAGCCCCGGCUAACUACGUGCCAGCAGCCGCGGUAAUACGUAGGGGGCAAGCGUUAUCCGGAUUUACUGGGUGUAAAGGGAGCGUAGACGGCGAAGAAAGUCUGAAGUGAAAGCCCGCGGCUUAACCGCGGAACUGCUUUGGAAACUUUUUUGCUGGAGUACCGGAGAGGUAAGCGGAAUUCCUAGUGUAGCGGUGAAAUGCGUAGAUAUUAGGAGGAACACCAGUGGCGAAGGCGGCUUACUGGACGGUAACUGACGUUGAGGCUCGAAAGCGUGGGGAGCAAACAGGAUUAGAUACCCGGGUAU
rnacentral:rRNA from 1 species